CCCUUAGAUGUCCUGGGCCGCACGCGCGCUACACUGAUGCAUUCAACGAGUUUCUUCCUGGUCCGAGAGGAAUGGGUAACCUUUUGAAAGUGCAUCGUGAUAGGGAUAGACUAUUGCAAUUAUUGGUCUUCAACGAGGAAUUCCUAGUAGACGUAGUUCAUCAGACUGCAUCGAUUACGUCCCUGCCCUUUGUACACACCGCCCGUCGCUCCUACCGAUUGAAUGAUUUAGUGAGUACCAGGGACCGAGCGCUUUGGUUGGGUUUCCUUCCCUAGCGCUUGGGAACUGUCGCAAACUUGACCAUUUAGAGGAAGUAAAAGUCGUAACA
rnacentral:rRNA from 1 species